rnacentral:rRNA from 1 species
GGGGUUUCAGGAAUUACAACCUCCCAAACCCCUGUGACAUACCAAUUGUUGCCUCGGCGGAUCAGCCCGCUCCCGGUAAAACGGGACGGCCCGCCAGAGGACCCCUAAACUCUGUUUCUAUAUGUAACUUCUGAGUAAAACCAUAAAUAAAUCAAAACUUUCAACAACGGAUCUCUUGGUUCUGGCAUCGAUGAAGAACGCAGCAAAAUGCGAUAAGUAAUGUGAAUUGCAGAAUUCAGUGAAUCAUCGAAUCUUUGAACGCACAUUGCGCCCGCCAGUAUUCUGGCGGGCAUGCCUGUUCGAGCGUCAUUUCAACCCUCAAGCCCCCGGGUUUGGUGUUGGGGAUCGGCGAGCCCUUGCGGCAAGCCGGCCCCGAAAUCUAGUGGCGGUCUCGCUGCAGCUUCCAUUGCGUAGUAGUAAAACCCUCGCAACUGGUACGCGGCGCGGCCAAGCCGUUAAACCCCCAACUUCUGAAUGUUGACCUCGGAUCAGGUAGGAAUACCCGCUGAACUUAAGCAUAUCAAUAAGCGGAAGGAA